UACGGGGGGGGCAAGCGUUGUUCGGAAUUACUGGGCGUAAAGGGCUCGUAGGCGGCCAACUAAGUCGGACGUGAAAUCCCUCGGACUUAACCGGGGAACUGCGUCCGAUACUGGAUGGCUUGAGUUCGGGAGAGGGAUGCGGAAUUCCAGGUGUAGCGGUGAAAUGCGUAGAUAUCAGGAGGAACACCUGCGGUGUAGACGGCUUACUGGACGGUAACUGACGCUGAGGCACGAAAGCGUGGGUAGCAAACAGG
rnacentral:rRNA from 1 species